rnacentral:rRNA from 1 species
GACGAACGCUGGCGGCGUGCCUAACACAUGCAAGUCGUACGGAGUUCACUUGGAAGCUUGCUUCCGAGUGAACUUAGUGGCGGACGGGUGAGUAACGCGUGAGCAACCUGCCUCACAGAGGGGGAUAACACACGGAAACGUGUGCUAAUACCGCAUAAUCCGAUGAAGCGGCAUCGCUUUAUCGGCAAAGGAGCAAUCCGCUGUGAGAUGGGCUCGCGUCCGAUUAGAUAGUUGGUGAGGUAACGGCUCACCAAGUCUACGAUCGGUAGCCGGACUGAGAGGUUGGACGGCCACAUUGGGACUGAGACACGGCCCAAACUCCUACGGGAGGCAGCAGUGAGGGAUAUUGCACAAUGGGCGAAAGCCUGAUGCAGCGACGCCGCGUGAGGGAUGACGGUCUUCGGAUUGUAAACCUCUGUCCUUGGUGAAGAAGAAAGUGACGGUAGCCAAGGAGGAAGCCACGGCUAACUACGUGCCAGCAGCCC